rnacentral:rRNA from 1 species
UACAGAGACUGCGAGCGUUAUUCGGAUUCACUGGGCGUAAAGGGUGCGCAGGCGGCCGUGUGUGUGAGGCGUGAAAGCCCGGGGCUUAACCCCGGAAUUGCACCUCAAACUACACGGCUAGAGCAUUGGAGAGGGUAGCGGAAUUCACGGUGUAGCAGUGAAGUGCGUAGAUAUCGUGAGGAACACCAGAGGCGAAGGCGGCUACCUGGACAAUUGCUGACGCUCAGGCACGAAAGCGUGGGGAGCAAAAGGG